rnacentral:rRNA from 1 species
AGAGUUUGAUCCUGGCUCAGAUCGAACGCUGGCGGCGUGGCUAAAACAUGCAAGUCGAACGGAAAGGCCCUACUAGUUUACUAGCUGGGCACUCGAGUGGCGAACUGGUGAGUAAUGUUUGGGUAACGUACCUUGGACACCGGGAUAGCUGUGGGAAACUACGGGUAAUACCGGAUAAGACUACAGCAUCUACGGGUGCAGUAGUAAAAGGCGGGGAUCUCUUCGGAGACCUGGCAGUCCAAGAGCGGCCCAAAUCCUAUCAGCUUGUUGGUGAGGUAAUGGCUCACCAAGGCUUCGACGGGUAUCGGGACUGAGAGGUUGACCCGGCACAUUGGGACUGAGACACUGCCCAAACUCCUACGGGAGGCUGCAGUAACGAAUAUUGGACAAUGAGCGAAAGCUUGAUCCAGCGACGCCGCGUGCAGGACGAAGUCCUUCGGGAUGUAAACUGCUGUCAGGGACCACCAAGCGAUUGGGGCUAACAUCCCCAUGAGUUGAGGAAUCCCAGAGGAAGUCACGGCUAACUUCGUGCCAGCAGCCGCGGUAAUACGAAGGUGGCAAGCGUUGUUCGGAAUCACUGGGCUUAAAGCGUACGUAGGCGGGCCUUCAAGCGUCGUGUGAAAUCCCUCGGCUUAACCGGGGAAGUGCACGGCGAACUAGAGGUCUUGAGACAGGGAGAGGCAAGUGGAACUCUUGGUGGAGCGGUGGAAUGCGUAGAUAUCAAGGGGAACACCGGCGGCGAAAGCGUCUUGCUGGCCCUGUUCUGACGCUGAGGUACGAAAGCUAGGGGAGCGAACGGGAUUAGAUACCCCGGUAGUCCUAGCUAUAAACGAUGUGCACUAGAUUGAAGGUCCUUUGACGGACUUUCGGCCGAAAUGAAAACGUUAAGUGCACCGCCUGGGGAGUACGGUCGCAAGGCUAAAACUCAAAGGAAUUGACGGGGGCUCACACAAGCGGUGGAGCAUGUUGCUCAAUUCGAUCAACGCGAAGAACCUUAUCCUGGGCUUGACAUGUUCGGAUGCUUUCUUAAGAAAUUUUGAAGGCUGCCUUCGGGUGAAACGAUCACAGGUGCUGCAUGGCUGUCGUCAGCUCGUGUCGUGAGAUGUUGGGUUAAGUCCCGUAACGAGCGAAACCCUUAUCGUUAGUUGCCAGCGCGUAAUGGCGGGGACUCUAGCGAGACUGCCGGUGUCAAACCGGAGGAAGGUGGGGAUGACGUCAAGUCCUCAUGGCCUUUAUGCCCAGGGCUGCAAACGUGCUACAAUGGCGUGUACAAAACGAAGCAAGACCGCGAGGUGGAGCAAAUCGGCAAAAGCACGCCCCAGUUCGGAUUGAAGUCUGCAAUUCGACUUCAUGAAGUAGGAAUCGCUAGUAAUCGCGUAUCAGCGUGACGCGGUGAAUAUGUUCCUGAGCCUUGUACACACCGCCCGUCAAGUCAUGGAAGUCGGGAGUACCCGUAGUCGUGUCAAAUCAGGCAUGCCGAAGGUAAGUUCGGUGACUGGGACUAAGUCGAAACAAGGUA